CCUACGGGAGGCUGCAGUGGGGAAUAUUGCACAAUGGGCGAAAGCCUGAUGCAGCGACGCCGCGUGAGGGACGACGGCCUUCGGGUUGUAAACCUCUUUCAGCAGGGACGAAGCGAAAGUGACUGUACCUGCAGAAGAAGCACCGGCUAACUACGUGCCAGCAGCCGCGGUAAUACGUAGGGUGCAAGCGUUGUCCGGAUUUAUUGGGCGUAAAGAGCUCGUAGGCGGUUUGUCGCGUCGGAUGUGAAAACCUAUGGCUUAACCAUGGGCCUGCAUUCGAUACGGGCAAACUAGAGUUCGGUAGGGGAGACUGGAACUCCUGGUGUAGCGGUGAAAUGCGCAGAUAUCAGGAAGAACACCGGUGGCGAAGGCGGGUCUCUGGGCCGAUACUGACGCUGAGGAGCGAAAGCGUGGGGAGCAAACAGGCUUAGAUACCCCUGUAGUC
rnacentral:rRNA from 1 species